CCUNGANCGGAACAGGANCGACUGACCCNGCCCAGUGAUAAAUUUAACGGCCGCGGUAUAUUGACCGUGCAAAGGUAGCAUAAUCAUUAGUCUUUUAAUAGAGGGCUGGAAUGAACGGUUUAACGAGGAACUGACUGUCUCAUUUUAUUUGUUUUAAAACUUAAUUUUUUAGUUAAAAAGCUAAAAUAAUAUUGGAAGACGAGAAGACCCUAUAGAUCUUUAUAUAAUUUUUUGUAAUUACUUUAAUAUUAACAUGAUUAUUUAAAAGUUAUAUUUUGUUGGGGUGACAAAAAUAUAUAAUCAACUUUUUCAUUUAUUUACCAUUGAUAUAUGAAUAUUAGAUCCAUUAUUAGUGAUUGUUAGUUUAAGUUACCUUAGGGAUAACAGCGUAAUCCUCCUCCAGAGUUCAUAUUUACAGGAGGGCUUGCGACCUCGAUGUUGGAUUAAGAUAAUAAUUAGGUGUAGCCGCUUAAUUUAUAGGUCUGUUCGACCUUUAAAUUCUUACAUGAUCUGAG
rnacentral:rRNA from 1 species